rnacentral:rRNA from 1 species
GAUGAACGCUGGCGGCGUGCCUAAUACAUGCAAGUCGAGCGAACAGACGAGGAGCUUGCUCCUCUGACGUUAGCGGCGGACGGGUGAGUAACACGUGGAUAACCUACCUAUAAGACUGGGAUAACUUCGGGAAACCGGAGCUAAUACCGGAUAAUAUAUUGAACCGCAUGGUUCAAUAGUGAAAGCCGGUUUUGCUGUCACUUAUAGAUGGAUCCGCGCCGCAUUAGCUAGUUGGUAAGGUAACGGCUUACCAAGGCAACGAUGCGUAGCCGACCUGAGAGGGUGAUCGGCCACACUGGAACUGAGACACGGUCCAGACUCCUACGGGAGGCAGCAGUAGGGAAUCUGCCGCAAUGGGCGAAAGCCUGACGGAGCAACGCCGCGUGAGUGAUGAAGGUCUUCGGAUCGUAAAACUCUGUUAUUAGGGAAGAACAAAUGUGUAAGUAACUAUGCACGUCUUGACGGUACCUAAUCAGAAAGCCACGGCUAACUACGUG